GAUGAACGCUGGCGGCGUGCCUAAUACAUGCAAGUCGAGCGAACGGACGAGAAGCUUGCUUCUCUGAUGUUAGCGGCGGACGGGUGAGUAACACGUGGAUAACCUACCUAUAAGACUGGGAUAACUUCGGGAAACCGUAGCUAAUACCGGAUAAUAUUUUGAACCGCAUGGUUCAAAAGUGAAAGACGGUCUUGCUGUCACUUAUAGAUGGAUCCGCGCUGCAUUAGCUAGUUGGUAAGGUAACGGCUUACCAAGGCAACGAUGCAUAGCCGACCUGAGAGGGUGAUCGGCCACACUGGAACUGAGACACGGUCCAGACUCCUACGGGAGGCAGCAGUAGGGAAUCUUCCGCAAUGGGCGAAAGCCUGACGGAGCAACGCCGCGUGAGUGAUGAAGGUCUUCGGAUCGUAAAACUCUGUUAUUAGGGAAGAACAUAUGUGUAAGUAACUGUGCACAUCUGGACGGUACCUAAUCAGAAAGCCACGGCGAACUACGU
rnacentral:rRNA from 1 species